GACGAACGCUGGCGGCGUGCCUAACACAUGCAAGUCGAGCGAGUGAAUCUCCUUCGGGAGUGAAGCUAGCGGCGGACGGGUGAGUAACACGUGGGCAACCUGCCUCAUAGAGGGGAAGAGCCGUUCGAAAGGAAGAUUAAUAGCGCAUAAGAUUGUAGCUUCGCAUGAAGUAGCAAUUAAAGGAGCAAUCCGCUAUGAGAUGGGCCCGCGGCGCAUUAGCUAGUUGGUGAGGUAACGGCUCACCAAGGCGACGAUGCGUAGCCGACCUGAGAGGGUGAUCGGCCACAUUGGGACUGAGACACGGCCCAGACUCCUACGGGAGGCAGCAGUGGGGAAUAUUGCACGAUGGGGAAACCCUGAUGCAGCAACGCCGCGUGAGUGAUGACGGCCUUCGGGUUGUAAAGCUCUGUCUUCAGGGACGAUAAUGACGGUACCUGAGGAGGAAGCCACGGCUAACUACGUGCCAGCCGCCGCGGUAA
rnacentral:rRNA from 1 species